GAGACGGAAAUGGGUGCUGCGGCUCCCUGUCUGUCUGUGAGACUUGCACAGCUGUGCUAAGUCACUUAGACGAUAGCAAAGUGCUGAGUUGAAACAGGAGUCGUACGUUUGACGGUUCACUUUGGGAGUUUUCGUCUUCAGUCAUCUGAAGGGAAAAAAAAGGGGAGGAAAGUGAAAGGCAUAAAGUGAUGAGGUUACUCAGGAGUUUUCUGCUCAUUUCUCCACAGAUCCACAUGUUUCACUGAAAUCCUUGCAGGAAAGCUGAUCACAGAAAGCAGUUUAGUGUUCCUGCUUUAAGUUCUUGUGUUUUAAUGCUUUCAUAAAAAGAAUACUUUUCCCAUGCCAUGAACACAAUGGACCGGAGCCCAAGGGAUUUAAUACUUUAAAAGUGAAUUGUGAAAAAACGCCAAAGUGCUCAAGAUCUCAAGCCAAAUUUUAUAAGGCCACGGUAUGGUCAUCUUCUGUGAAGCUCAUCUAUGACAUUUUUAAUAAACCCUGACUUAUGAUUUUA